rnacentral:ncRNA from 1 species
AAACCCCACCUGUUUACCAAAAACGUCACCUCUAGCAUAUUAAGUAUUUGAGGCACUGCCUGCCCAGUGAGUUAACUUCAAGGGCCAAGGUAUCCUGACUGUGCAAAGGUAACAUAAUCACUUGUCUCUUAGAGACUUAUAUGAAUGGCAUAAUGAGGGUUU